AGAGUUUGAUCCUGGCUCAGGAUGAACGCUGGCGGCGUGCCUAACACAUGCAAGUCGAGCGAAGCGCAUGGAUACGAUUCUUCGGAUGAAGAUUCAUGUGA
rnacentral:rRNA from 1 species